UUCAAAAAAACUCACAUCUUCUUUUGGAUAACUGGAAACUUUAAUAUUAUAAUUAAAUAUUAGAUCAAUUUCCAGCUAUGAAUAUUAUAAUUAAAUACAUUUUCUUCUAAAGUUUCUCAAAACAAUCUUUUGAAAAAAAAUUCAUGACUUUCUAUGACUUUAUUUUGUGAAAGAAAAUGUAGAAAGUCAUGAACCAAUAACAUAAUAAUUUAAAUCAUAAACAAUCAGAGAUUUUUUUGU
rnacentral:sRNA from 1 species